GCACAAGAUGAUCAUCGUAUACUUUACAUACGCUGGAAAUUACCGGCAGAGGCCUCUGGCCGCUGAAGAUACAAAUAGGCUGUUUUCUGACC
rnacentral:snoRNA from 1 species